rnacentral:lncRNA from 10 species
GCUGUAGUGGCUUCGUCUUCGGUUUUUCUCUUCCUUCGCUAACGCCUCCCGGCUCUCGUCAGCCUCCCGCCGGCCGUCUCCUUAACACCGAACACCACAUAAAUGAGCAUAUUCUGAUGUACUCUUUGGAUCUGAACUCAUCUUCACAGAUGCCUUCAAUUAAGUUGCAGAGUUCUGAUGGAGAGAUAUUUGAAGUUGAUGUGGAAAUUGCCAAACAAUCUGUGACUAUUAAGACCAUGUUGGAAGGUCAUCCUUUCUGCAUUGUCUGAAUUAGUGAGGGUCGUUCUCUCAUUAAAUGGAUAAAAUCAUAAGAUUUGGGAAUGGAUGAUGAAGGAGAUGAUGACCCAGUUCCUCUACCAAAUGUGAAUGCAGCAAUAUUAAAAAAGUUGACUAUUGUCAUUUAUUGGGCAUCUGUACUGUGUCUACCUAUGCAAACACUUCCCUAGGAAGGAUGAUCUACAUGUAGAAUAUCUGGAUCGCAGGUCAUUCAGUGGUGCACCCACCACAAGGAUGACCCUCCUCCUCCUGAAGAUGAUGAGAACAAAGAAAAGCGAACAGAUGAUAUCCCUGUUUGGGACCAAGAAUUCCUGAAAGUUGACCAAGGAACACUUUUUGAACUCAUUCUGGCUGCAAACUACUUAGACAUCAAAGGUUUGCUUGAUGUUACAUGCAAGACUGUUGCCAAUAUGAUCAAGGGGAAAACUCCUGAGGAGAUUCGCAAGACCUUCAAUAUCAAAA